rnacentral:rRNA from 2 species
ACGGGAGACACACGGCGGGUGCUAACGUCCGUCGUGAAGAGGGAAACAACCCAGACCGCCAGCUAAGGUCCCAAAGUCAUGGUUAAGUGGGAAACGAUGUGGGAAGGCACAGACAGCCAGGAUGUUGGCUUAGAAGCAGCCAUCAUUUAAAGAAAGCGUAAUAGCUCACUGGUCGAGUCGGCCUGCGCGGAAGAUGUAACGGGGCUAAACCAUGCACCGAAGCUGCGGCAGCGACACUAUGUGUUGUUGGGUAGGGGAGCG